UGCAGUUCCACCAUGGACCAUGAGGGGCUGCUUGCCCGGAGCUCCUGGAGGGGGCUCCCAGGGCCUGGCUCAGCUGGGAGAGGACAGAACACAGCAGGUAGCAUCCGAAGCUUUACCUGUUGGCAGAGUGUGUGGUGUGUGCUUUGAGUAACAUGGAGCAGGUUCAACAGAACCAAGUCUCUUCCUCUCCAAGAUUCAAUCACACCUAACGCUCUACUGCUGGAAACUCAUCAGCCAGGCUGUGUCCUCUCUGCAAGGCACUCUUUACAGACCACUAUAGAGGCUGCCUUUCUUUGCUGCUUUGCAAUGUAGGAAGUGCUUCUGGUACACACCUGAUGGUCUCCCCGUGACACUUCUGGAAGAUAACCCUGCUCGGAUGUUGAGAGACGACAGCACUAAGCCCGGAGCCUGCUGAAACAGAAGCCAGAGAGAGGAGAGCCCAGUGGGAGCCGAGUCAGACAGGAUGCCAGGCCGAGCUCAGCCUCCCUCCCUCCCCGUGCUCCCAGCUCCUGGAGAAUCCUGUUUGUUUUGUGCAAUCUUCCUGUCAUCUCCCUAGGGCUAUAAUCCCCUAUCUCCUCUGACUGGCGGCUCUCACCUUACCCUUUACACCUCUAGAGAGCAGGGCCGCUCCCUCUCCCUUCGAUGAGCAUAAACAAUCCACAUUGCCUGGCCACCGCUUGACCAUGGCAACACACGCACAUGCCCACCCAAGCUCCCAGGUAGAAGGAGGCUCAUACCUGGCCCCAGAAGCAGCAGAAGCAGCAGCAUCUUCCGUGAUGGCCCCACACCACCUUCUCUGGGGAGAGUUGUGACCACUGUCUCCAUUCACCAGCGAGGAGGGAUGACUGAUCACAGAAUCCCAAGGAUGCUCUAGUCUGCCCCCUGGUGGUAAUCUUUGCUCAUGACCCGUGUUACAUCCAUCUCUCUGCCUGUCAAAGAACCAUACAGGUCGGCGAGGUGGCUCACGCCUGUAAUUCCAGCACUUUGGGAGGCCGAGGCGGGUAGAUCACAAGGUUAGGAAUUCAAGACCAACCUGGCCAACAUGGUGAAACCCCGUCUCUACUAAAAACACAAAAAUUAGCCAGGCGUGGUGGCGGGCGCCUAUAAUCCCGGCUCCUCGGGAGGCUGAGGCAGAGAAUUGCUUGAACCCGGGAGGCAGAGGUUGCAGUGAGCUGAGAUCGUGCCACUGCACUCCAGCCUGGGCGACAGAAUGAGACUCCGUCUCAAAAGAAAACAAAAAACCCAUACAGUGUCUAAAGUGGCCUAAAGAUUUCCCAAUUCAACUUCCAAAUUUAUUAAAGAUACACUGAGACGUA
rnacentral:lncRNA from 1 species